rnacentral:rRNA from 1 species
GAUGGAUGAGCCUGCGUUUGGAUUUAAGCUAGUUGGGUUGAGGGUAAUGGCCGUACCAAGGCUACGAUCCAUAGCUGAUUUGAGAGAAUGAUCAGCCACAUUGGGACUGAGACACGGCCCAAACUCCUACGGGAGGGCAGCAGUGAGGAAUAUUGGACAAUGGGGGAAACCCUGAUCCAGCAAUGCCAUGUGUGUGAAGAAGGCCUUAGGGUUGUAAAGCACUUUAGUUGGGGAAGAAAGCUUUAAGGUUAAUAACCUUGAGGAAGGACGUUACCCAAAGAAUAAGCACCGGCUAACUCCGUGC